rnacentral:rRNA from 1 species
GCGCCUGUAGCCCGCAUGUGGAACACGUGUUCGAUAGGCCGGAGGUGGAAGCCCCGCGAGGGGUGGAGCCGACCGGUACUAACGGGCGAACGCGGCA